rnacentral:rRNA from 1 species
UACGUAGGGUGCAAGCGUUAAUCGGAAUUACUGGGCGUAAAGCGUGCGCAGGCGGUUUUUGUAAAGUCUGUCGUGAAAGCCCCGGGCUCAACCUGGGAAUUGCGAUGGAGACUGCAAGGCUUGAAUCUGGCAGAGGGGGGUAGAAUUCCACGUGUAGCAGUGAAAUGCGUAGAGAUGUGGAGGAACACCGAUGGCGAAAGGCAGCCCCCCUGGGUCAAGAUUGACGCUCAUGCACGGAAGCGUGGGGAGCAAACAAGG